AGGAAAAGUCUUUGUCCACAGUUGUCAUUUUACAUUACCUAACGGGUUUGAUACACAAAUACAACAGACAGUUCCUUAUGGCUAUACAUGGAAAGGGGUAAUCAGUAAUCAUAAUAACGUAGCAGAGUAAGUAAAGAUAAUAGCAUGUUCUUCAAUAAGAUGUUCCACAUGUUUUGGUGGUAUAUAACAUUUUUUAAAACAUGAAAAGACACUUGUCUAUACAAUUUUUAUGACACAAAAUAAAAUAAAGCACUGCUUAAAGCCUAACAACAAUUUGGUCGACAAACUUUUGAUGACCACGACAAAAUAAGAUGGAUAGAAAAUGUCUAAAAGAGCAUCACAAUAAUUAUAGUAAAUACCAGUAAAUAGUGAGCAAUUUGUUUCACACUAUAAUCUUUGUGUUAUAAAACAUACCUUACAAGUUAGAUGUAUUGAAUGCCAGUUGUUUCUGUAAUCUCAACGUCUAAUCGUGAAAAAAGAAACUUUACCAGUUAUUACUUUACUAAAUUAGUAUGCAGUCUUUUUCGUAAUGUUAACGCAUAUUCACAACGAGGUUUACGCAAUACAUUUAAAGAGUAUUAAAGAAAAGAAAAUUUCGGAAAACAAGUUUUUAAAUUUGUUAUAUUAUGACAACGUGGAAAGCACAAAGCGAUUGAAUAUUAUUCAAAGUAAACUUUGUGUUAUGUUGCAAUUUGUUUGAAAAGAAAAUGAAAAUUAAAUAAAUACUAUAUACAAUAGGAUUGUUAAUAACCAGCCGAAUGCUUGAAACGAUCAAAGUAAAUAUAAAGACCAAUCUUCAAUCUCUUUCAAAGAUUAUAAAAGUACAAUUGUUUAUAUUUCAGGGACCGCCAGUUUGUCUUCCUACUUUGCCGAUUGAGCACAUAACGAAUUAAUAAAAUAAUUUGGUAUACAUUUCAAGACACACAUGUGUUCGUUCGUUUUUCCUUGAAUAUAAACAUAUACUCCUGCCAAAUAUAAAUCAGAGUUAAGACUGAACGGCAACAAUGGCAUUUACCCUCUUUCAAAUAGGUAAUUGAAAAUGUUUGACAA
rnacentral:lncRNA from 1 species